GCAGCGAGGGCCUGGUGGUGGGGGGCACAGAAGGCCGUGAGCAGGAGGAGGAGGAAGAUGCAGACAGCGACUUGGUGCUAGGUGCCCUGGGAGCUGGUGCCCAGGGGGGCCCAGGCAGUGUUGAGCAGGGCAGGGGCCGUGGCAGAGAGACCCCCGCCUGGAACAGCCACACCCCAGAGUCCCCACAGGAUCCAGGACAGGAUUCAACCUGGGAGGAGGAGGAAGAGGAGGAUGCAGAGAGUGAAGGGGAUGAGGCCAUAGAAGCUGCUUUGGCUCCCCAAGGAAACGCAACAGAACCAAGGACACCGCCACGGGGGCCUGCAGCUCGCAGUGUCACAGGGUUCUGGGGUGACUCGGAGGAGCUGGGAGCAGGCCUGGAAACGUACCUGAGGAAGGACCGGAGCCUGGACGACCAAGACGACUUCUAUGACUGAGGGAGGGAUCCAGCACCUGCGGGUCCCAGUGAGACAGGGGCGAUCUGGGAUUGGAGAUUCACUGUGCUUGGCCUUGGGGGCCACAGAGAGACCCAGAAACAGUGAAGCCAGCCAGCAGGGUGGGAGCGACACAUGGACUGAGGGAUCCCUCCCCCCCGAGCAUGGAGUGUGUGACCCCAUCCUGAGGCUGCUCCCUACCCCACAGAGUGCAGGACUCUGAUUGUCCUGAGCCCUCGGAGCGUGAGGGUGGCACAUCAGGCAAUAAAGUCUCCCAGAAAGGAACUGAGUGGAGAGGCCAUGGGGGGCAAAGGGGCCCAAGGUGGGC